ACCAGGCACAGUGGUGCAUGUCUGUAGUCCCAGCUACUCAGGAAGCAGGGGCAGGAGAAUCACCUGAGCCCAGGAGUUCUGAGCUGUAGUGUGCUAUGCCAAUUAGGUGUCCACGCUAAGUUCAGCAUCAACAUAAGAGACCACCAGAGUGCCUAAGGAGAGGUGAACGAGCCCAGGUUAGAAACGGAGCAGGUCAAUACUUUCCUGCGGAUCAGUAAGAGGAUUGUACCUGUGAAUAGGCACUGCACUGCACUCCAGCCUGAGCAACAUAGCAAGACCCCAUCUCU
ensembl:misc_RNA Metazoa_SRP Metazoan signal recognition particle RNA